GCUGAACGGGGCGGUUCGGCGGGAGGACCUCGCGAGGAGGUCCGGCUCACGUGCACACAGUUUGUGCGCUACCACAAAGAGCACUGCGUGCAAGGGCUGCUACACGUGCGCAGCGCCGCAGGAGAGAGUGCAUGUACCUCAACUGGUGAAUCCUUGCUCUGAUAUCGACUGGCUUACCAGGCAGAACCGGCACUGAGACCAGCAUGACCUCUACCUGACAGGAAAAGGCAGCGACCGCCAUGACGUCCUUU